GGGCCAUUGGUGUAACUGGAAACGCGCCCGGACAGCAAAAUCGGGAGUUAUAGGUUCGAUUCCUUUAUGGUCCA
rnacentral:tRNA from 1 species